GAUGAACGCUGGCGGCGUGCCUAAUACAUGCAAGUCGAGCGAACAGACGAGGAGCUUGCUCCUCUGACGUUAGCGGCGGACGGGUGAGUAACACGUGGAUAACCUACCUAUAAGACUGGGAUAACUUCGGGAAACCGGAGCUAAUACCGGAUAAUAUAUUGAACCGCAUGGUUCAAUAGUGAAAGACGGUUUUGCUUUCACUUAUAUAUUGAUCCGCGCCGCAUUAGCUAUUUGUUAAGGUAACGGCUUACCAAGGCGACGAUGCGUAGCCGACCUGAGAGGGUGAUCGGCCAAACUGGAACUGAGACACGGUACAGACUACUACGGGAGGAAGCAGUAGGGAAUAUUACGCAAUGGGCGAAAGCAUGACGGAGCAACGCCGCGUGAGUGAUGAAGGUCUUCGGAUCGUAAAACUCUGUUAUUAGGGAAGAACAAAUGUGUAAGUAACUAUGCACGUCUUGACGGUACCUAAUCAGAAAGCCACGGCUAACUACGUG
rnacentral:rRNA from 1 species